rnacentral:piRNA from 1 species
UAGUAAGAAGUAGGAUGCCAUGAUC